ACAGGGCUCCAGGUUUCAGCCCCACUCUGGGGAUGAGGCUCUGGGCUUCAGCCCCGCUGGGGUUCCUGGCUGUGGCUUUUCGCGAUGCACAGUUUGAGAACUGCUGGUCUGUAGUGGCUCAACAAUAGGACAGCAUCCACUGGAACAGUUAAGGAGAGUCCAGAUGUAAGGGGAGGAACUGGGAGGGCCAAGAAUACUCUGAAACGUGAGGAGAUUAAAAAUGGUAUGGUAGAUACCUACUAACUCCAGGGUUGGAUUAUUUGCAAUACUGAUUUCUAAGAGUGGCAAACUCCUCCUUCUGUUAGCUAAAGGAAAGCAGAAAACAAGUUGGGCUUUUGCAGGAAAUAAAUUGCCAAGCUGGUAAUUGUGACUGACAGCAUAAUAGUCUGGACCAGUGGGUUUCUCUCUCUCACACACACUUUUUUUUUUUUUUUGGCAUUGUCAAUGUAAAUAAAACAGUUGUUAGCAGAGUGAGAUUAAAAACACAGUUUCCCUAAACAGAUAGCAGCUGUUACACCUAACCCUGCGACUUGAACAUAGGUUUUUUCCUGUAUACAUGAGCCAAAUAGCCCCAUUUUCAGUACUAAGACCCAGCAUGGGUACUUCUACUCAGGCUUCACCAAGCUCCGGCCAGAAGAAUGUGUUUAUAUCAAGUUGUUAAAAUGCCAGGUGUUCUGUGUUUGAUCCCUCUGCCCCUGCUGGGUGAAUUAGUAAUAAGCAAAUCAGUUCAGAGCACUUCACCCCAACACUCCCAGUUUUCACUCAGCACAAGCCAAACAAAUUUUUUUUCUGUUAAGACUUCAAAUAGUUUAGUUGACUUCUUUAAGAAGUUCAAUAUUCAUAAGCCUCUGUACUUCCUAGUUGUAGCCAGGAGUGGGAGUGCCAAAAUAUUGCAAGACAACAUGAAAUUUUCAACAAAGGGACCCUAUUCUGUGAGGCAUUGAGCAUCUGUCUUCACUGGGCUCUGAAGACACUCAGUCCCUUCUUGGAGCUAGGCAUUCAGCAUCUUACAGGACCAAGUUGGAUGAGAUGAAGGAAUUUAAACAGCGCUCUCCCAGCUUGAGUUGACAAAGAUGUGGAGAAGGACUCGCUGAGCACUAUGAAACUCUCAUCUCUGAGUAUCUGGGGUUAACUUCUAAGUGACAACACCCUUUAAGGCACACAUUGGAAGGAUGUGUGCCAGAGGAAUGGCAACGUUCAACUAUUUGUGAAGGAAGAGAGACUGUUUUACUUCUAGAAAGCGACCCUAUUAACUCAACGCUCGAGAUUAUGUGAGAGGUUUCUCUCCAAGUUGUAACAAGCCUCUCUUAGGCUUCAGAAUUGGAGAGGAAAGAGUCUUAAAGUGCAUUAAAAUAAAAAAAUCUUAUUUGCCUAGCUCUGAACUAGCUCUUA